rnacentral:lncRNA from 1 species
GGAGCAGGGGCCAGCGACCCACGUCUACAUGCAUACUUCUCUUACACUGCUGCUACUGGAAAAGCUGAACCCCGCGCCAGGACCCCAGCCCCCUGCAAGGACCCGUGAGCGUCUGGGAAGCUGUCUCUGGGACUGAAGCCCCCCACCUCCGCCGGGCUGGCGGCCACUGCGGUACCCUACGCCCCGUCGGGCUGGUCCUGCACAAUUUGGGAAAAAGCCGCAGCGCUUCUGCAAGGUCUACGUGGCCAUGAGCAUGCAACGCUUGGCUCCAAAAAAGACACGAAAGGAGCAAAGCGCCAACGACCACCCGAUCGGAGGGCCCGAGGGGCGCCUCUUCACCAGUCAGCUGCAGCUUAAGUUCCGUGCAUUAUCUGAAAGGAACAGCUGGCUGGAGGUAUCCAGGGCUGUCACUCCAACCUCUGCAGCAGUGACCUCAACUCCCAGCACUUCAAAACCCAGACAGAAACGUCCAACAAACUCCCAGUCCAGGAGCGCUGCAAAACCAACGCCAGUUGUUUUUCUGCAGAAAAUCAUCAACUGUGGAGAAGAAGAAGGGAAAUAAGAAAGAAAGAAAACCCUAAAAACCACCCUGGCGCCCGGGCCCGCAGGCCUCGGGCCGGCUCUGAAAAGUUUGGGCUGUGCACGUGAUGAGCGCGUAGGCGGGAGCCCCAGACAGGACCCGGGCGGGCAUUUCGAGAAAAAGCAGCGGUGACAGCCUUUGGUCCCCAUCUCCAUUGUUCCUGCCAGCUCUGGACCCCAGGCUGCAUGAGACGUAGGUCCCAGGGGACACCCGACCCCGUGGCCCCAGUCUUAGGUAAACUUAGGAAUCAGAACAACACUCACCCCUAUGCCGCGCUUGCUCCAUUUCCCCUUGUCUAUUUCUGCUCACCAAGCAUCCAGCUGACAUUGCAUUCAAAGCAGCAUUUCAGCUUAGAAAUCGCUUCUAGUCCAUCACGGUGCUUGCCAUGUGUCUCCAAGGCUUUAUUAGGUGUGUUUUUAGUUGUCCUGAUAAUCAGUUCACCCCAGGGUGCUGAUGGCUGAUAAUACUGGCGCUUCCCUCCCUACCCCCAUGCGUUGCACAGGGAGGGUGAGUCAUGUGGAGAUGGAUGCAGCCCCCUGGGCAGUGGGGGUGCAGGUGCUGUGCAGGGAGGAGUCUUAGGGCGUUUUUACUGUCUUACUGCCCUCUAAGCACGGGACCCUUUGGAUCAUUUACUAGAUUGGCUAAACUAGAACCGGAUGGAAAUAUUCUGUACUAUGGUCCCCUUAAUUACAUUUAAGAAUACUUGUCAGGCCAUAUAUCACAGGUUUUUAAUUAGAAAAGUAUCCUCCUCUCGCCAGUAAGGACUUGCAGAGAUGGGGGUGGGGGCUGGAUGGAGGGUGGCACUUUUUUGGCAAAAAGAAGUUUGGAGCAGAGUGUCACUAGUGGCCUCUCUGAAGACUGGUCCUCGUCUUUUAAAACCGAUGGCUGGAAUUUCUUCCAGUUCCAAACCUCUUGUUAUUUGUCCUCUCUUCUUGUUCACAAAUGUGCUAUCAACAUUCAAACAAUGGAUAGUCAGCUAUCCAUUGUAAAUGGACCUUGCUGGAGUCCAGGGCUAGCAGAAAUGACAGGGUCUAAAAUGACAUUUAUCAAGUACUUGCUAUAUGCUUAUAUAUGCUUUUUAUAUGAAGGUUAAGAAGCUUGAGGCAUUUGCCCAGUUUCCACAACCAAAAGGGGCAGAGUCGCCAGUGGCAUUAAGCCUGUGUUACUCCAAAGCCCAUAAUGACCAGUCUUACUAGACCAUUCCUCUCAGGAAAGAUCCUGUGAGACAGGUACUCUUUUGGUGUCCUGUCUCCCAGCCUCUCAAAACAGCCAAACACGGACCUUAGACAGAAUGCGGCUUCAGAGGUAGAAGGGUCUUGGUUUCACCUUCAGGAAACCUCCUGGGUUUCAGUUGAGCUGGCAGAAGAAGAUCAUGUAUCUGAAAGACCCUGCAUGGAAUGUUAAUCCUCACACCACUCUCCUGCUGGUGCUCCUUUGUAAACAGAGUUGGCCUGUUUCCUCUCAUCUCUGGCUCCAUGACUUCAAUCCUCCUGCAGCUUCCACUGCCCCUAUCUGGCUCAUGUCUUGCUGUCUGGUGUCAUGAACUGGGAGUGCAGUAAAGAGGAGUGACAAGCCUGAGGGGCCACGUUCAUACCUGCCACUGCCAACUGUCCUGAUGUAACUGCUUUGUCAUCUUGCCUGCCAGGAUUUGUGACAAGGGACCUCAGAUCCUUUACAUGUGUUAUCUGGACUGAAUGGAGAAACCCAAGACCCACCAUGGUGGAGGGACAACUGAAGUCCUUAGUGACCCAGUGAGUCAUAGUACCAGGAUCAAAGACCCUCCACUGGGAAGGAGGCAGUUGGUGUAAUGACAAGUACAGUUCCUUCUGUUGCACUUUGCCUGAAAGCGUGCGAUGCUGACAUCUCAAACUUGUCAGAAAAUCCACUAUCCCUGUGAAUUCUGUUUUAUUUCCUGUCAACACUUGGCUGAAACACUUGGGAAAGUAAUUUUAUUUUACAUCAUAAAUAUAAAUAUUCAAUUCUUAGUUUCAUUUAUGUUUCUGUGAAGGCUGCUAUUAAUGACCAAAUAGGAUGUUAGAAAGCCCAGAAAUGGGUGUUAUUAGGAACGAGCUAGAAAGCAGUGUUGGUUUUAGCAGUAAGCCCGGUGUUUCUGAGAUAAAUUAGUUCCUGUUACUUGGAAUAGUGCAAGCCAUUGUGAAAAUUUGCCUUGACAUUCCCCUUUCUCAUUUGUCCCUCAAUCCCUUCAGUCUAGUUUGGGGUCUCUAUAAUCCUGCUCCUUUGGCUGCCAGCCAUCUCCAUAAAAAAAGAAUUUGAAAGGCUUCCAUUCUUUCAGAGACCUGUUUCCCGGGACUGGCUGCAAGGGAGAGAUGCACUGACCUUCUGCCAGGAAUCCUAGAGUUCCUUGGAGAGGAUAUGAAGGUUAUUCUCAGGCCAUGCAGAUGGGCAAGAAAGGAUGUGCGUCCAUGGUUCCUCUUCAAAUCCAACCAAAACAGCCUUGCUUCCGUUGGCUUUAUAUAAUACUGCAACUCUUGAUAAUCUGAUUUAACACAAAUUUCCUCAUUGAGUUUCUCCUCAUGAAGAAACGGCCUCAGUGAGGUAAAUCGGAAUGCACAGGAGCACAUAGCAGGUUAGUGCAGACCAGAAAUCAAACCCAGGCUUUCUGACUGCUCAAUAGACCACAAUCUACCAUGCUACCAUGGAAACUUUAAAACAGAUGAAAGUAAAAACAAACAAACAACAACUUAAAAAAACAAAAACAAAAACAAAAGCAAAACCCAGAGCCUCUCUAGGAAAUACCAACGUGCUUUUGCCAAGUGGGGUUUCUCUCACUUCAUAAGAGCAGUAAACACUAAACCAAGGGAAUGUGAAUUUAGAGGUUAGAAAAGAUAACCAGAGAUUUGGCCGUGCGUGGGGCUCAUGCCUGUAAUCCCAGCACUUUGGGAGGCUGAGGCUGGUGGGUUGCCUGAGGUCAGGAGUUUGAGACCAGCCUGGCCAACAUAGUGAAACCCUGUCUCUACUAAAAAUACAAAAAUUAGCUGGGUGUGGUGGCGUGCACCUGUAAUCCCAGCUACUAGGGAGGCUGAGGCAGGAGAAUCGCUUGAACUGGAGAGGUGGAGGUUGCAGUGAGCCGAGAUGGUGCCAUUGCACUCCAGCCCGGGCAAGAAGAUUGAAAUUCCAUCUCAAAAAAAAAAAAAAAAGAAGAAGAAGAAGAAAAGAUGCCAGAGAUUUGGCGGGGUGCCGGGCUCAUGCCUGUAAUCCCAGCACUUUGGGAGGCCAAAUGGACAGAUCACUUAAAGUUAGGAGUUCCAGAAAAGAUGCCAGAGGUUGGGCCUUUACAUUGUUUUGUAAAUUCGUCAAACCUUAAUCUUAUUUAACUUCCCCACCUAUACAAAAAUUAAUGCAGUAAUUGCUUUUUAAGGAAGCAUUCCAAAGGCCAAAUAAUUCAUAUAUGUCAAGUACCCUGGGAUUCAGGAAAGAAAAAUUCUCUAUAGCUCUAAAGCAAGGAUUAUAAUUUGAGGUUUCCUGACAGUUUUUUUUAAGAAAAGAAAUACCAACCUUUCUUUUCUGGGCCAAAUGCCAAGGUAGGUAAUAACCCCUUGCCCAUUUUCUUUCCCCAAGCUGUUUUAACUAGAUAAGAGCUCUGCCUUCAUUUCCUUUUGUGAACUGACUUGGGAUGUUGCCACAUGCCCUUCAACUACUGUCAAUGCUCUAGUUUGCUGAGUGCUUUCCCCUUCAGAAUGGAAAAGGUUUUGGCAUAAAUAUCUAGCUUUCUUCAAGGUACAAAAUGCUUUCCAAGGAGCAGAGGACAGAGGGAACAAACUUUCAUGUUUCCCAAUUGUAUUAGUCUGUUCUCAUGCUGCUAAUAAAGACAUACCCAAGACUGUGUAAUUUAUAAAGGAAAAAGGUUUUACUGACUCACAGUUCCACAUGGCUGGGGAGGCCUCACAAUCAUGGUGGAAGAUGAAGGAAGAGCAAAGGGAUGUCUUCCAUGGCCAGCAAAAAGAGAAUGAAAGCCAAGGGAAGGAGAAAACACCUUAUAAAAUCAUCAGAUCUCAUGAGACUUAUUCACUACCAUGACAACGGUAUGGGUGAACUGCCCCCAUGAUUCAGUUAUCUCCCACCGGGUCCCUCCCACAAAAUGUGGGAAUUAUGGGAGCUACAAUUCAAGAUGAGAUUUGGGUGGGGACAGAGCCAAACCAUAGCACCAAUACUAGAUCCCUCAGCUUCAAGGUGGCUCCAGUGAUCCUAAGAGGAUCAAGGAAGCCCUACCUCCCUGCUUGUCCUGGAUGUCUCUGACACAUGUUAAGGGAAAAGCAUUAAUAAAGUGCUCAAGAAACAAUUGUUCAAUAGGUCAGUCUUAUAGUCAAUACCUCAUCCCAUGCUCUGUCCCCUACUCUUUGAAAAACUGCCCAAAGAAACAAUGGAUCCACGGAGUCACAAAAACAGGGCAUCCAGUGACCCUCCCCAUCUUACCAGCAAUGUGACUUUCCCACAGUAUAACGACAGCAGUGCCCAGAGCCCAAUACAAGCAGGGCUCUACACUGAGACAGAGCUGAGUUCUAGUAGCAACUACCCUCCUUAUAGCAGUGUUAUUUUAGGCAAGUUUCUCAGCUUCUGGAAGGUUCUUUUCUCAGGCUUACAUACUUUUUACCCGAAAAGAUCUUGGAGUCGUCCAUAUCAGCACAAGCAAUCUACAUUAUUAGUUUUUUUAAUGGCUGCACAGCAUUCCAUGAUAUGGCUGUACCAUUACUUAACUAUCGAUGAACAUUUAGGCAGUUUCCAGUCUCUUUCUGCAGGAGCCAAUGCUGCAAUGUGGUGGGUCAUAACUUUUUCUUUUUUUCAAAUGUGGUCUCACUAUUUCUUCCAGGCUGGAGUGUAGUGGUAUGAUCACAGCUCACUGCAGCCUCGAACUCCUGGACUCAAACAAUCCUCCUGUCUCAGCCUCCAGAGCAACUGGGAGUACAGGUGUGUGCCACCAUGCCUGACUAAGUUUUUAAAUUUUUUGUAGAGAUGGGGUCUUGCUAUAUUGACCAGGCUGGUCUUGAACUUCUGGCCUCAAGAAAUCCUCCCACCUGGGCCUCCCAGAGUGCUGGGAUUACAGGAAUGCACCACUGUGCCCAGCCCUAAAUAACUAUUUUUAUUUCCCUUUCUGUAACCGCUCAUCUUUUGUGCAUUUUUCCUUGGGUAUUGGCCUUCUUAUCAAAGUUUAAGAACUGUUUAUAUAUAGGGAUUAACCCUUAGUCUGUUGUAUGAAUUGCAAAUAUACAUGUAUUUUUAUUUGUAUAUGCAAAGUUUGUCUUUUAUCUUUGUAUAUGGGAUAGUUUUCCAAACACAGUUUUAUUUUAUUUUAUUUUUCAUCUUGCAUGUCUUUCCAAAGUACCAAGCAGAGUUUUUUUAAAAGUUGUUUUAUGGCUUCUGGGUUUUUUAAGUCAUAUUUAGAAAGAUCUUUCCCACUCUGAAAUUAAAAAAAUAAAUAAAUAAAAUCUCCCAAUUAAAAAAAAUUUGUGACUUUGUUUUUCAUAUUUAAAUAUUUAUUCCAUCUGGAAUUUAUUUUAUUUUAAGCUGUAAAGUAGAGACCUCAUUUUAUUGUAUUUCUCCAUAUGGCCACCCAGUUGUUACAAUACCAUUUACUAAAUAAUACAUCAAUUG